CGUUUAUAGUAUUUGUAAGAGGUGUGUUUAACGUGUUGUCAUAAUAUUAAAAGGCACAAAUAAUGAACGAGUGUUCUGUGUGUUUUGUUUUAUCUGACUGCCGCUGUCACUCACUGUGUCACAGUCAUUCUCAGAAACAACUGUCACACAUCAGAUUGAAAUGAUGUCAUAGAGUAAAUGAUCUGGCCGUGGUUUUAUCCCCAGACUCAGACACUGAGUCCAGCAGUAAGAGCAGAGCAUUGAAACCACUGAAUAGACACGGUUCCUCCUCUGUGUGUGUGUCACUAAACACAGUUUAUCACAUUUAUCUCGUUUAUAAUCAUCAGAAUUGUUCAACUGCUCGUACUUGAGUCACUGAAACAGAGCUUCUCCACAUGACCUCUUAAAACUGUUCAACUGUUAAAGUGUCAGCUCUCUGUCGCUGGUCCAGCUCCUCCAUUGUCUCAGUCGCUAGCUACUGUAUCUGUCAGUCACUGCAGAAGAAUAGGUCGCCAUGACAACUGCAGCAAACAGGUUUCCAGUAGCUCUGAUGCACAAAACACACGGAGCAGAGAGAUGUAGACAAAGUGCAGCCCACGCACAUGAAAGGUAAGCAGCGCACACAGUUACUCUCCUCUCACAUAUUUAUGGAUGUUUUUCAAACUUCCUGCUGCGACUGAUGUUUGAAUGUGCUCAGUGACACAGGAACACAGAGGAAAUGUUCACUGUAAACCAUCAACCUCCACGCUGCCAUGAUUUAUUUCUGCGUGGUCGACCGUACAGAGGGGAGCCGCCGACCGUGGCAGGGUUUCUCCUGUACCCGGACACUCCGGCUAAAAUGGAGACCACGUCCCGCGAGGCCUUCUGCUUUAAAGUCGUCCCACAACAAGUCAGAGGCAAAGCUCCAGGAAAUCAUAUAACUGAGAACACACUGCAGGAGUCUCACUGUCGUCAUCCAAGCAGCAGCAGCAGCAGCAGCAGCA